GACCAGGUAGCUCAGUUGGUAGAGCAUUCGGCUGGUGUUCGGAAGUCCCGGGUUCGAAUCCCAGUCUGGCCG